UCAAAGCGCACAGGCUAUUCACCUACAGAUGAUGGGCCUGGAUGACUGGAUGAAUACGAACUGCGAGUGUGUGCAGUCUGAAUUGCUUCGUAAACAUGAUCAUGGAGCUGCCCGCACAAUGGAGUGCUACACGCAAACAAAUAUUCUAGUUGUUUCCGAAAGCCAGAAUACAAUUCCGAAGGAGCAAAUGAUAAAGAUAGAAGAAAAAGUGUACUUCCUCACAACACACAAGGACGGAAUGACGAAGGUUGCACUCAGGACCGUGUUAGGAGAUGAACUGAGUAAUAACCCACCGGAGCAGUUUCCUCACGAAUACCUUGUUCUUGCGGCAAGAAGUAAUUGUCUACUUGUGUCAUAUGGCGAAUCAAGUGAUGUAACCUGAUCAUUUCAUCGACCACAUGCUCUAGUCUGCGUACGGUUUCGCCAUUGUGACCGUUGGCCUACAGGUGCAAGCCCAGUACCCUAAUGUUGUCAACAUGCAGGAUGACGGUGCCGUCCGAUGAAUGCGAAACUGCCUGCUGUGGGGGUUAUCAAGAGAAGAAGUGAACACGAAUACUGAAUGCUAUAAGAAGCUCGAGUUGCUAUGCGCACAGGACACCUACGACAUAACCGAAAGUGAUAACCCGUGCGAGCAGUACGAUGUGAACGAGCCAAGACGUUAAAAAUAUGACAGAACGAAUAAACCUGUAAUCAAGCACAUGAGCAAAA